UUGUGUCAGUCUUAAGAAUAUCUAUUAAUCCCUCUCUUUUUCGGUGCUCCUGUAGAAAAAUGCGUUGAUCGGAGGCAUUGCAACCGGUGCCCUGGUCUCUGCUGUGAGCAACAACAAAGGGAACAAGAUCGCCCAGGACGCCAUCACCGGAGGUGCCAUCGCGACCGCCGUCGAGUUCAUCAACUACCUCACCUAGCCGUGAGGCCAUCCAUAUUGGCAGCGACGUUUUUAUCGGACAAGACUCAAUAAGAACUUCUUGACUGAAGCCAAGCCAUCCACCCUCUGUGUUAAUAAUUGGAGCCGUUUCCUCCAAUGUUCUUCCAUUUUUUGUUGCCUGCCUCCUCAUGUCCAUGUUCUGAACAAUUUAUUUUUCUUCGUGGUUUGCAUCCUUCAGUUAUGACACCCUUUGUGCUGUGCCUGGUUUCGUACUAGCAUAGUUUUUUCAUAGCCGUAGUAAAGGAUCACACAGAUGCCAUCAGUAACCGCACCGUGGUUAGGUCAGUUGUAUCCUCAACGUUCGAUAAAAUCAAUCAGGGACUCCGUGGCCCAAUGGAUAAGGCGCUGGUCUACGAAACCAGAGAUUCUGGGUUCGAUCCCCAGCGGAGUCGCUUCUUUUUGUACUCCUCCCCCCGUCCCAGGUUGUGCUAUUAUUUUUGUUCAGAAAUGUUUAUGUCCUCGUUACCAUAUAUAUUAUGAACAGCCUGAAACUAAAUGAUAAGUGGUAAUGCUAAACUUUGCAACUUAUUUAACUCUAAAUGUAAACUAACAAUUACCUCUGUUACGAGGUCAAAGUAUAGACACUCUGACCUUUGUUUUGUACUUCCUUCAUUUUUAGUUACUUCGCAUAAUAGCUUUGACAUAAGUUUACUUUAUAAAGUUUGACCAAGAUUAUAGAAAACAAUCUAAACUUUCACAAUAACAAAUAUAUAUGAUGUGAAAAUAUAUUCAAUGCUAUUGAUUGGAAUUGUGAAUGUUAAUAUUUUUUUUGUGUAAACUUGGUCAAAGUUUACAAAGUUUGACUUAAGACAAAGCUUGUGCCUCCUCCACCAUGCUCUACUCCCACAAAGGCUAUGGUGAAGAAAUCUCCUCUAAGAAGUGUUAGAGUCAUCAACGUCAGUGCAGAAGCCUCGGAGUUCUCUUUUCUCAUGCCACUCCGCAAUUCUAAAAUCGAUGUGAUUCUAGGCAUGGUUUGGUUGUCACCAGGCAAAACCAUCAGUCCAUUGUUCGUUUCCGUUCAUAUUCCUUGGCUUACUUGUUUGCUCUCAGUGCCUCUCUGUUGCUCGAAGAUGUCUCGUUGGUUUGUGUUUUCGUUUUCGUCGAUGUCUUUCCCGAAGAAUUUCUUGGUGAUGUCUUUUCGUCUCACCAAUGUUUCUUCGUUAUUCUCCCGCUUAAUAAACUAUGUCUUCAUGGACUCUCUCGAUGAGUUUGUGAUUAUCUACCUUGACGACAUCCUCAUAUUCUCAAUCCUCCGGUUAAAUCAAAGCCUUUUUAGAUCUUCCGUGAUGCCUCUCUUCAAGGAUUUGGCAGUCUCCUCAUGCAAGAAUGUUAAAUUGUUGCUUUUAUCUCUCGUUGAUGGAGUCCUCCUAAGAAGAAUGACCCGAAGCGCGAUCUAGAACUAGCAAUUAUUGUCCAUACUCUCAUAUCUUGUCGGUAUCUUUUGCUUGACCGGCAUUAUGAAAUCUUCAUCGGCAGCAAGAGCCCCAAUAUAUCUUUUCUCAAUUUAAUGUCAAUCUUCGUCAAAGGCGUUGUAUGGAAACUAUCUCAGAUUUUGAUCUUGGUAUCUUUCAUACUCCAUGCAAGGCAAAUGUCGUCAUUGAUGCUCUCAACCGCAAAGCUUUUUUGUAAUAGUCUCAUUCUUCAGUCGUCUCAUGCGUUGUAUGGUUCAUCUUAUCAUGAAUUCAAGAGGGAUUUUAUAGUUGAGCUUCAUGCUAUUUUGGACAGUACCUCUUACCCAUUUUAAUUUGUGGUGACUUUAAUCUGGUUAGACAAGACUCUAAUAAGAGUAGUGGUUUGAUUAACCCUCUAAUCACCUUUGUAUUUAAUGAUUGGAUAAACAGAUGGUGCUGCUAGAGCUUCCUAUCUCUAAUAGGAGCUUUACCUGGUCCAAUAAUCAAAUUGAUCAUAUUUUUGCUACCAUUGAUAGAACUGGGAUGCACAUUUCCCUCUUUCUUCACUUGUAACUUUUUCAAGGGUGGGCGGUGAUCAUACUCCCCUGAUGUUGGAUACUGAAAGAUCAAUAGCCCUAAAAUGUUUAGGUUUGAGAAAUGACAGUUAUCUCAACUUGAUUUUGUUCAUUUAGUUCAUGAUGUGUGAACUUUUGUCUCUGACACUACCUCUUCUGUUGAUAAUUCGCAAUGCAAAACUAAUGUUCUUAGAAAGAAAAUUAAAGGCUGGAGUAUAACUAUUGAGGCUGCCAUUAAGAAGAAAAGGAAGGCCCUCGUUUGAUAUGUUAGAUGUCCUAUCUGAAUAUAGCCCACUUUCUACUCACACUAUGAUAGAAUGAAAGACACUAAGACUGAAUUAAGUGAGAUUGGGAAAAAAGAGGAGUGCCUUAUGGCAGAGAUCCAAAGAUAGAAAAAUUCUUGAGGAAGAUCGUAAUAAUUCCUACUUCCAUUCUUUGGCUAAUCAUAGACACCGUAAAAACCACCUCUCAGAAUUGAAUGGAUCUCAGGGCCCUGUUACCUCUACUUCUGACAUGCUUAAUGUUGCAACUACUUUUCACAAAGACCUUUUCUCUUUAGAACCAAAACCUGAUAUCCAUCUGGAUUCUACUUUCGGCAAUGAGAAUGAUUUAGUGACUGUGGAAGACAAUGCCUUACUGGGAAAACCCUUUUCCAAGGAAGAAAUAUUACCAUUGAUGGCCUCUUUUUUUAUCAAACUCUCUGGCACUUGAUCAAAGAUUAUUUUAUGUGGUUGGUGAUGGAUUUUGAAGCUGGUACCUUAGUUUUUUAUCGUUUAAAUUUUACUAUUAUUACUUUAAUCCCUAAAGUUCCCAAUGCAAAAGAUAUGAAAAACUCUAGACCUAUUAGUCUAAGUAAUUGUGAAGUGAAAAUUGUCUCUAAAGCUAUGAUCACUAGAGUCUCUCCUAUUUGUGACAAAUUCAUAUCUCCUAACCAGAUUGCUUUUAUCAAUGGUAGGUUCAUUUUAGAAAGUGUGGUCAAGGUGCAUGAAGUGAUUCAUAAGAUUCAUAGGACUGGCACCAAUGACUUGGUCCCGAAACUAGACUAUUAGAAAGCCUAUGAUAAAGUGAGUUGGGAUUUCCUUGUGGAAAUGCUCACUUCUAGAGGUUUUGCGCAAAAAUGAAUUAAUUGGAUUUGUAGUUCUCUGCAUCAAAGCUCAUUUUGUGCUAGGAAUGACACUAAUGGACCCCGUUUUGCUUGAGGGAAGGGCUUGAACAAGGUGACCCUCUUUCUCCAUAGCUUUUUAAUCUGGUGGAUGAUGUAUUUUCUAAAUUGCUUGCUAAAGUUGUGAAUAAAAAUUGAUAGCUAGUCUUCUACGUCAUGUGGUCUCUGGUGGCGUUGUCAGCCUUCAAUAUGUUGAUGACACCAUCCUUUUGUUAGAGGCUUCUACUGAAUAUGCUAGAAAUUUGAAAUGGGUCCUUGCUUGUUUUGAAACCUUCUGGGUUAAAGAUUAACAACCAUAAGAGUGACCUCUACACCAUACACGUGGAUGAAGAGAUGUCAAAAAUGCUUUGCUCAGAUUUUCGCUGUCAGAUGGGGCAUUUCCCCUUUAAUACCCGGGAGUCCCUCUUCAUUAUAUAAAACCGAGGAGGCAAAAUCUCUAGCCUAUUAUUGAUAGGAUUAUUACAAACACUGCUAGAUGGUUGAGUAGGAAUUUAUCCUAUAGGGGCAAGUUAAUUUUGCUCACUACUUGUAUUGAUAGCAUCCCUAGCUAUUGAUGUCUAAUGAUGAAAUUUCCUAAAUGGCCAAUUGAUGCCAUCACCUCACAAAUGUCCCACUUCUUCUGAGGGAAUUUAGGGAGGAACAUAAAUAUCGUCUUGCAAAUUGAGGGCUUAUCUCUAUGAGAAAAGAGUUUGGUGGGAUGGAUGUCCCCAAUCUGAGAGAUUUUAAUAUGGUCUUAGCCCAGAUGGUCCGGUCGCGUCCGUUUGGGAGUAAACGGACACAAAUCGUGGCCCAACGCGCACAGAAGCAAACAGACAAACAUUCAUUUUUUGUCCGCCGCCGACGUAUUUCUGGCCCAAAUUUGGGCCGUGUUUGCAUCGAAACGGUCAGCACGGAGACGGGCUGGACGCGCGCCUUUGUCCUCCCCUAGCCUGCCCGUCGGGGACACAACGCGCCCACUUUCCCUCUCAUUCGCAAAACCCCUGCGCUCCCCCUCCCCUCCCUCCUCCAUGGCUGGCGCCCCGAAGAACCCGCAACCGUGACCCGGCCGCCACCACCGUCCGUCCCGCGCCAAAGAGGAAGAAGAAUCCGUGGUCGGAGCUCACGCCAGCGGAGGUCCCGCGGCUCGACAUUGAAUCGACCAAGAUGAGGGCCCAGCGGACUAUUGCGGCGGAGUAGAAAGCCGCUGCCAACUUCACCGCCAAGACCGCAGUUGCGCAGCAGGCUGCGCAGCACAAGGCCGUCGUCGACCACAACGAGGCCAUCGUCGCCAAGGCCACACAGGCAGCGACGACGUAGGCCCACGUCAUGCUAGGGUUGUACCACUCGACCGACCAUUCUCUGCGCCGCCGCCAUGGCCGCGGCAAGCACAAAUUCGUCGGUUGUUCGCCCUCCGCAGUACCAUUCGUCGAGCUCCUCCAUAACAUCGGAGAAGCCCGAUUUUCGUCCACUACGACAGCAUGCUCAGACCCUGUUCUCCACGUCGCCGGACAGCAGCGUGAUCGCGCCGGCCACCUUCGGCGCCACGUCCGUCAUCGACCUCAAUGUCACGCCUGAGUGCAGUGCGCUGGCAAGUCGUCCAUCAAGAUGCAAAGGAAGCAGCCCCGGUCGAUUCCUACGGCCCAGCCUGUUCGACGAAAUGCCAAUCCCGACGCCGGCGGCCAACGACCCUGACUACAAAUGGUGCGUCCGCAUGUUGGGUGCACGGCCAACGUAUCGAGGAAAACGACGAGACGCCGCACCAUAGCCCUACCAAACGGACAAAAUCCGGACAAAACAGACGGCUGUUUAGCGUGGUGCGUUGGAGUUGGCCUUACUUGCUUCGUGGAGCAAAAGGUUCUUUGAUGAGAGGGAAAGUGAUUGGAAGAAACUUGUACGUUUUAAUUUCUUUAGUGGUUCGUUGUUUUAAAUAUGUUGUUAACAAACCUAGUUUACUUUUGGCCAAACCGGGGAAUGGUUCUCCAUUCUGGAAAAGCAUUGUAAUCUGUGUGCAAAAGUUCUCUACAAAUGGGUCCCUGGAAUGGGGAUAAUGUGGCUUAUCUUCUUGCUCUGUAUCUGUGUGCCAGAGUGCUAGACGAGAGAGAGAGAGAGGGAGGGACAUCGGCCGAGAAGGUUCCGGAAGGAUGCCUCGCGCGGGGUUGUCGGCGGGGUCGAGCAAGGUGGACGUGGCCAUCGACCUCGGGAACCCGCUCCUCAACCGCACCGUCGACGGCUUCCUCAAGAUCGGCGCCGUACGCACCCCCUUCCUCCCUCCUCUUUCAUCCAAUGUCUGUAUAUUGCAAUGUGUCUGAUCCAAUGUAUGCGUGCAGGUCGGCGCCUGCAGGGUGGCCGCCGAGGACGCCUUCGACUGCCUCCAAAGUGGUAAUAGCGCAGCCCAUCUCUGAUUUCUUCCGCCCCACAGAUUCGUCCGGUUUCUUUCCUUUUGCGCUCAGAAAAUCGCCUAGCUUGGGCGACGGUGUAGGGUAAUUGAUAGAUCCAUUCCCUGAGAAAAUCAAGGAUUUUUUUUCUUCUUUUCUGAAUGAUGAAGGUAGAAACGCCCAGAUUUUAGUUUGAACCAAAUGUUUUUCACAGCAUACAGUGGGACAUAGUACAUUAGUUUCUGUUGGUGCUGUGCAGACAAAUGUGACAUCAAAUUAUCUUCUUUUGCUUUGCAGGGAGUGUCUCGAAGCACAAGCUUGAGAAGACAGUAAGUACUGAUUUCCACUGCGUUUGUUUUUCUCGCACUUAAUUGUCCCGAGUCUUGCCACUAUCUGAAUGGCAAAACAACUAGAGAUAUCAGUACGUAUUACACUAGUAUAUAUGAUGGUAGUGGCCUGAUAGGCAGAUGAUAUUAUUCUACGUUGGAACUGACUAAAUGUUCAGCAGUUCAGACUGGUUCAAUAUGGUUGCCUUGAACAUACCUUCGUAGGAUAAAUAGAGAAAAAACAGCUGAACUAUAAGUCUAAGGCCUUGAACCACUACUUUUGCAUAAUUGCUCUCUACUUGUGGAUUAGUGAAAAGUCAGUGGCCUUGUUUCUGCACAUGCGUUAAGGUAACUAUCUAUCUAUCAUCUACAGUGUACUAAUAUGGUAUUCUGGUCGUUUAUGCAGCUGGAAAAAAUGUGCAAGGAGGGCGCAUAUUGGGGUAACUAAGUAGAAGAGUAUUACUCUGUUGUUUUAUUUGGCUCAAAUGAAUGCAUCGGCAUCAAUCGUUCAUCCGUUCUUCUUAUGUUCGCUGACAAAUUUGGAUGCUUCUUCUAUUAAUCUGCAGGUGCUGUUGCUGGAGUGUAUGUAGGCAUGGAGUAUGGAGUGGAAAGGGUCCGCGGAGAGUAUGACUGGGUAAUGAUUCUCUGAAAAUGGAUCUUUCAUCCUUCUUGCACUUACCUGAACCUUAGGUGAAGGAAUAUCUAUCUACAUGACUGCCUCUGCCCGUUUUACGAUGUAGAUCAUUUCUUUAGUUGACUAAGAUUCUUGGCUAAUUAGUGUACGAGAAGAACCAGUCAGAUUCCUGGCAUCUUAUAAAUCAUGAUGCUAGUUUUUACUUCUGUCUCCAUGUAACUCUAAUACUGUGCUAGCAGGUUAGAUAUCACACCCUGUCGUAAGCAAUAUUAUUGUUGGCAUGUUGUGAGUCAGUCUUAAGAAUAUUUAUUAAUCCCUCUCUUUUCCGGUACUCCUGUAGAAAAAAGCAUUGGUUGGAGGCCACUCGAUACUAUCUGCUCACAAACAAUAUUAUCUGCCCACAUGAUAUCUAGAUCCUUAUCUUUAGUUGACUAAGAUCCUUAUUUUCAGUCAGUCUUGAUAAUAUUAUUAAUCUCUCCCUUUUUCGGUACUCCUGCAGAAAAAUGCGUUGAUUGGAGGCAUCGCAAGCGGCGCCCUGAUCUCUGCUGCUAGCAACAACAAAGGGAACAAGAUCGCCAAGGAUGCCAUCACCGGAGGUGCCAUCGCAACCGCCAUCGAGUUCAUCAACUACCUCACCUAGCUGUGUGACCAUAUGCAUGGCAAUGUUUUUUUUUAUCAGCAAGACGAAU
rnacentral:lncRNA from 1 species